AGUGAACGCUGGCGGUAGGCCUAACACAUGCAAGUCGAACGGCGGCACAGUAAGAGCUUGCUCUUACGGGUGGCGAGUGGCGGACGGGUGAGGAAUACAUCGGAAUCUACUUUUUCGUGGGGGAUAACGUAGGGAAACUUACGCUAAUACCGUAUACGACCUACGUGUGAAAGCAGGGGAUCUUCGGACUUUGCGCGAUUGAAUGAGCCGAUGUCGGAUUAGCUAGUUGGCGGGGUAAAGGCCCACCAAGGCGACGAUCCGUAGCUGGUCUGAGAGGAUGAAGAGCCACACUGGAACUGAGACACGGUCCAGACUCCGACAGAAGGCAGCAGUGGGGAAUAUUGGACAAUGUGCGCAAUCCUGAUCCAGCCGUACCGCGUUGAUGAAGAAGCCCUUCGUGUUGGAUGGCCCUUUUGUUGUGAAAGAAAGGCAGCAGGAUAAUACCCCGCUUUUCUGACGGUACCCAAAGAAUAAGCACCGGCUAACUUCGUG
rnacentral:rRNA from 1 species